AUGGUUUCAGUACUUGCUCGUGACCAUGCACUUGAUUUACAAACCCCCUGCCUAUGUCUCUCAUCACAUUUGAAUUUGAUAGACUGGUUCUUGCCUAUGCACUGUUUGUUAAUUCCUCUGUUUUUUUAUAUCCAGUACAAAGUGGGUUAUGAGCAUCAUCGUACUAUUGAUUCAGUUUUGUAUCCAGUCAGUGUGAUGUUACUUCCCAGGAAAGAAAAGAUAAACCGAAUCAAUUUUCCGUUGGGUACCUGCUGUCCCUGCUCACAGCUGCCUUUGCUACAUACAGUACCUCUGUUGCCAUGCCUGUGUUUGCAGCUGAUUAACCACGGUGUCCUGGACGAUGUGUUGGAGGGAAUGAAGGCCAGCAUCCAAGAAUUCUUUGGGUUACCCGCGGAGACGAAGAAACGAUUGGCGCAGCAGCGAGGGCAGCUGGAACGCUCUAAGAUCUGCUGUUUAUCGUCUCGGAGGAUCAGAAGCUCGACUGGGCUGACAUGCUUUUCCUCUACACUCUGCCACCUGAGAGCAGGAACACCAAGUUCUGGCCUGACCAGCCGGCUAACUUCAGAUCGACGCUGGAUAGAUAGUCUGGCGCUGUGA
rnacentral:rRNA from 1 species